rnacentral:rRNA from 1 species
UACGGAGGGUGCAAGCGUUAUUCGGAUUCAUUGGGUUUAAAGGGCGCGUAGGUGGGCAGGUAAGUCAGUGGUGAAAUCCUGUAGCUUAACUACAGAACUGCCAUUGAUACUAUUUGUCUUGAAUACCCUGGAGGUGAGCGGAAUAUGUCAUGUAGCGGUGAAAUGCUUAGAUAUGACAUAGAACAUCUAUUGCGAAGGCAGCUCACUACGGGAAUAUUGACGCUGAGGCACGAAAGCGUGGGGAGCAAACAGG